rnacentral:rRNA from 1 species
GCUCAGGAUGAACGCUAGCUACAGGCUUAACACAUGCAAGUCGAGGGGAAACGACAUCGAAAGCUUGCUUUUGAUGGGCGUCGACCGGCGCACGGGUGAGUAACGCGUAUCCAACCUGCCCACCACUUGGGAAUAACCUUGCGAAAGUAAGACUAAUACCCAAUGACGUCUCUAGAAGACAUCUGAAAGAGAUUAAAGAUUUAUCGGUGAUGGAUGGGGAUGCGUCUGAUUAGCUUGUUGGCGGGGUAACGGCCCACCAAGGCUACGAUCAGUAGGGGUUCUGAGAGGAAGGUCCCCCACAUUGGAACUGAGACACGGUCCAAACUCCUACGGGAGGCAGCAGUGAGGAAUAUUGGUCAAUGGACGAGAGUCUGAACCAGCCAAGUAGCGUGCAGGAUGACGGCCCUAUGGGUUGUAAACUGCUUUUAUAAGGGAAUAAAGUGAGUCUCGUGAGACUUUUUGCAUGUACCUUAUGAAUAAGGACCGGCUAAUUCCGUGCCAGCAGCCGCGGUAAUACGGAAGGUCCGGGCGUUAUCCGGAUUUAUUGGGUUUAAAGGGAGCGUAGGCCGGAGAUUAAGCGUGUUGUGAAAUGUAGAUGCUCAACAUCUGCACUGCAGCGCGAACUGGUUUCCUUGAGUACGCACAAAGUGGGCGGAAUUCGUGGUGUAGCGGUGAAAUGCUUAGAUAUCACGAAGAACUCCGAUUGCGAAGGCAGCUCACUGGAGCGCAACUGACGCUGAAGCUCGAAAGUGCGGGUAUCGAACAGGAUUAGAUACCCUGGUAGUCCGCACGGUAAACGAUGGAUGCCCGCUGUUGGUCUGAAUAGGUCAGCGGCCAAGCGAAAGCAUUAAGCAUCCCACCUGGGGAGUACGCCGGCAACGGUGAAACUCAAAGGAAUUGACGGAAG